rnacentral:rRNA from 1 species
UACAGAGGUGGCAAGCGUUGUUCGGAAUUACUGGGCGUAAAGCGUGCGCAGGCGGCUUUGCAAGACAGAUGUGAAAUCCCCGGGCUCAACCUGGGAACUGCAUUUGUGACUGCAUGGCUGGAGUGCGGCAGAGGGGGAUGGAAUUCCGCGUGUAGCAGUGAAAUGCGUAGAUAUGCGGAGGAACACCGAUGGCGAAGGCAAUCCCCUGGGCCUGCACUGACGCUCAUGCACGAAAGCGUGGGGAGCAAACAGG